rnacentral:rRNA from 1 species
AGUGAACGCUGGCGGUAGGCCUAACACAUGCAAGUCGAACGGCAGCACAGUAAGAGCUUGCUCUUAUGGGUGGCGAGUGGCGGACGGGUGAGGAAUACAUCGGAAUCUACUUUUUCGUGGGGGAUAACGUAGGGAAACUUACGCUAAUACCGCAUACGACCUACGGGUGAAAGCAGGGGAUCUUCGGACCUUGCGCGAUUGAAUGAGCCGAUGUCGGAUUAGCUAGUUGGCGGGGUAAAGGCCCACCAAGGCGACGAUCCGUAGCUGGUCUGAGAGGAUGAUCAGCCACACAGGAACUGAGACACGGUCCAGACUCCUACGGGAGGCAGCAGUGGGGAAUAUUGGACAAUGGGCGCAAGCCUGAUCCAGCCAUACCGCGUGGGUGAAGAAGGCCUUCGGGUUGUAAAGCCCUUUUGUUGGGAAAGAAAAGCAGCAGGUUAAUACCCCGCUGUUCUGACGGUACCCAAAGAAUAAGCACCGGCUAACUUCGU